rnacentral:rRNA from 1 species
GACGAACGCUGGCGGCGUGCCUAAUACAUGCAAGUCGAGCGGACGAAUCGAAAGCUUGCUUUUGAUUCAUUAGCGGCGGACGGGUGAGUAACACGUGGGCAACCUGCCCUGUAGACGGGGAUAACACCGAGAAAUCGGUGCUAAUACCGGAUAACACGAAAUGUCGCAUGACGUUUCUUUGAAAGACGGCGCAAGCUGCCGCCCCAGUAUGGGCCCGCGGGGCUUUAGCUAUUUGGUGGGGUAACGGCUCAACAAGGCGACGAAACGUAGCCGACCGGAGGGGGUGACGGGCCACAUGGGGACUGGGAAACGGCCCAGACUCCAACGGGAGGCGGCAGAAGGGAAUCUUCGGCAAGGGACGAAAGUCUGACGGAGAAACGCCGCGGGGGCGAAGAAGGCUUUCGGGUCGUAAAGCUCUGUUGUUAGGGAAGAACAAGUAACGCAGUAACUGGCGUUACCGUGACGGUACCUAACGAGAAAGCCACGGCUAACUACGUG